GAUGAACGCUAGCUACAGGCUUAACACAUGCAAGUCGAGGGGUAACGAGAGGGAAGCUUGCUUUCCUUGUCGACGACCGGCGCACGGGUGUGUAACGCGUAUCCAACCUGCCCCCAACUAGGGAAUAACCUUGCGAAAGUAAGACUAAUACCCUAUAAUUUCCUCAGAUGACAUCUGACGAGGAAUAAAGAUUUAUCGGUUGUGGAUGGGGAUGCGUCUGAUUAGCUUGUUGGCGGGGUAACGGCCCACCAAGGCAACGAUCAGUAGGGGUUCUGGGAGGAAGGUCCCCUACAGUGGAACUGAGACACGGUACAAACUCCUACGGGAGGCAGCAGUGAGGAAUAUUGGUCAAUGGGCGGAAGCCUGAACCAGCCUAAUAGCGUGCAGGAUGACGGCACUAUGGGUUGUAAACUGCUUUUAUACAGGAAUAAAGUUAGCCACGUGUGGUUAUUUGUAGGUACUGUAUGAAUAAGGACCGGCUAUUCCGUGCCAGCCGCCGCCGUAA
rnacentral:rRNA from 1 species